rnacentral:rRNA from 1 species
GUGCCAGCAGCCGCGGUAAUACGUAGGGUGCGAGCGUUAAUCGGAAUUACUGGGCGUAAAGCGUGCGCAGGCGGUUCGCUAAGACCGAUGUGAAAUCCCCGGGCUUAACCUGGGAACUGCAUUGGUGACUGGCGGGCUAGAGUAUGGCAGAGGGGGGUAGAAUUCCACGUGUAGCAGUGAAAUGCGUAGAGAUGUGGAGGAAUACCCGAUGGCGAAGGCAGCCCCCUGGGCCAAUACUGACGCUCAUGCACGAAAGCGUGGGGAGCAAACAGGAUUAGAUACCCCUGGUAGUCC